AUUGAACGCUGGCGGCAGGCCUAACACAUGCAAGUCGAGCGCGAAAGUCUUCGGAUGAGUAAAGCGGCGAACGGGUGAGUAACGCGUGGGAAUCUGCCCAGUAGUGGGGGACAACAGCCGGAAACGGCUGCUAAUACCGCAUACGCCCUACGGGGGAAAGGGGGGGAUCUUCGGACCACUCGCUAUUGGAUGAGCCCGCGUCGGAUUAGCUAGUUGGUGAGGUAAAGGGUCACCAAGGCGACGAUCCGUAACUGGUCUGAGAGGAUGAUCAGUCAGACUGGAACUGAGACACGGUCCAGACUCCUACGGGAGGCAGCAGUGGGGAAUAUUGGACAAUGGGGGCAACCCUGAUCCAGCCAUGCCGCGUGUGUGAAGAAGGCCCUAGGGUUGUAAAGCACUUUCAGUGGGGAGAAAAGUGAUUCACCUAAUACGUGAGUCAAUUGAUGUUACCCACAGAAGAAGCACCGGCUAACUCCGUGCCAGCCGCCGCAGUAA
rnacentral:rRNA from 1 species